UGACCUCAAAUCAGGUAGGACUACCCGCUGAACUUAAGCAUAUCAAUAAGCGGAGGAAAGGAAACCAACCA
rnacentral:rRNA from 1 species